GCCACGGUGGUCUAACGGUUAGAACGCUGGCCUUGUAAUCCUGGGGUCUCGGGUUCGAUUCCCGGCGGUGCCC
rfam:Zootermopsis nevadensis contig22943, whole genome shotgun sequence.